UAUUGCACAAUGGGCGAAAGCCUGAUGUAGCGACGCCGCGUGAGUGAAGAAGUAUCUCGGUCUGUAAAGCCUUAUCAGCAGGGAAGAUAAUGACGGUACUUGAGGAGGAAGCCCCGGCUAACUACGUGCCAGCAGCCGCAGUAAUACGUAGGGGGCUAGCGUUAUCCGGAAUUACUGGGCGUAAAGGGUGCGUAGGUGGUUUCUUAAGUCAGAGGUGAAAGGCUACGGCUCAACCGUAGUAAGCCUUUGAAACUGGGGAACUUGAGUGCAGGAGAGGAGAGUGGAAUUCCUAGUGUAGCGGUGAAAUGCGUAGAUAUUAGGAGGAACACCAGUUGCGAAGGCGGCUCUCUGGACUGUAACUGACACUGAGGCACGAAAGCGUGGGGAGCAAACA
rnacentral:rRNA from 1 species